UUUUUUUAUUCUCCUAAUAUUUUAUCUGUAGCUAGUAGCCAUGUUGGUGAAGAUUCUUUAUCAGUUAGUCAUGUUUGAUUUAUUUUUUUGUGCAUAUCAGUGUUAUUUUAGAUUUUAUUUUGUCUGUAUUCUGACAUUGUAAACAUAUUUUUUGAGUUAUCUCUCUUUGUUGCUAAACAUUUUUAAAUCAGUAACGGCUAUAAAACUCUUGAGCAGUAAUCAACUAAAAGUUCAGCGAUCCAAGAAAAUAAUAUUUGCUGUAACAUUAGUUAUGCAUCUUAUAUUUUUGGGUUUCCAGUAUCCUCUAAUGAACUACUUUGUUUCCUCUAUUUAAGUUUUCUAUGGAGUUGUAACUAUCAGUUUAUUAAGGUUCAUCAUAACAAACGGACAAAAUAUGGCUGUAAUAACGUGCCAAAAAUUACUCUGAGUACAGAUUUACCUGUGGAGUUGGAAAAGUUUUAACGCCUGGCAUCCACUAGAUAUUAUAAAGUUAAAUGCAUUUUAUGUUUCAGAAAGAUAAAAUCUCUUUUGGAUUUUGAUGGGCAUUUUUUUUCCUUCAUGCAAAAGGUGUGAAAAUUAACUAAGUUGUGAUACAACUAUGAGAUACUCCCUCAGGUAAAAAAUCAGUUUGUAUUGUUUUGAUUGUCCUUAAUUGACAUGGACAACAGGUAUCAUCACAACUAUAGGUGAGUUAAAGAGUUUAUCUGAGUCAAUGAGUGAACAGUAUCAAAGUAAUUCAGGUGUUUGUUUAUUUUUACACCUUCGGCAGAAAGGAUAAAAAAUGCCCAUCAAAAACCAAGAAAGAUUUUAUUUUUCUUAAACCCAAAAUGCAUAUAACUUUUAUAUGUCUAGUGGAUGCUAGGCAUAAAAACUUUCCAAACAGCACAGGUAAGUCUGUACACAGAGUAGUUUUUGAGUUGAAAAUACGGCCAUAUUUGUUCAUUUGUUAUGAUGAACCUUAAACAAUACACAUCAUUUAUAUAUAACUCACUUCUAAGAAGUGAAUUACAUGAAAAAAGUGUAUUGUCUCCCUUUGUCAAGAGAGGAAGAGAUGCCAUAUACGAUGAGUUCCAUAUAACCAUGACCAUUUCAUGUUUAAAAAUUUAUGUUGGCAAGACAGAAAUUCAAUUUCACAGCAUAGAUUAUUUAAGAAGUUAACAACUAUAUGUCUUCUUACGGCCUUCAACAAAUAGAAAAACUCAUACAGCAUAUUGAUCUAUAAAAGGCUUAAAAAUCACACAUGUUAAUGAUUUCAAACAAGAAAACUAUUCUGAUUUCUGUAUAAAAAAUGUCCUGUUGAAGCCUGCCUCGCAGGCGAAACAUGUUGACCAUAGCAAAUAAAAUUGCAGACUAUUUGAAUUGUUGUUGUCAAUUCAGAGGUAUAAUCAAAUUUUGCAUUCAUUUGCAUAAUUUGACAACCCUGCAUACCAAGGUAUCCACUUCAGGGACUUUUUCGAAAUGAUUCACACAGGCGUUGGUUCAUCAAACGGAGUUUAAUUUAUUCUGAUUUAUAUACAAGACAAUGAAUAAAAACAAAUAUGACUUAGGACAGGCACCUACAGAAUGGUUGCAAUUAAAUGAAAAUUAACUGAUUUAUUCCAUGUCACGUGAUAACGUGUUACCCAAUAGAAUUGUUUGUAAUAUAUGUAAGGUAUUUUAAAUGACAACAUUAACAUAGAUUGGAUGAUAAGUUAAAUAUUUAUAUUAUGUCUUGAUGAAAAAGAAGUUAAAAUGUGUAUUAAUGUGUAUUUCAGCACCAUGUAGACUCCAGUAUUGGUGUGUAUGUAAUAGAUAGAUAAUAAAAGUUUAUUGUUGUGAAUUUCAGCACAAUGUAGACUCCAGUAUUGGUGUAUAAGUAAUAGAUAGAUAAUAAAAGUUUUUUGUUGUGUAUUUCAGCACCAUGUAGACUCCAGUAUUGGGGUAUAUGUAAUAGAUAGAUACACGUACUAUGCUUUAGAAUUCCUGGACACAAGAUAGUAAAAAAACUAUUGGAAAAUUUGUAAAUAGUUUUUUACUUACAAAUGUACAUAUAUCAUUAUCUUCACACAUGUUUCAAACUGGACUACUAAAAAGUUUUAUAUAAAAAGUGGAAAUUAACUAUACACAAGUUUGCGAGACAAUUUUUGUACAUUCAGAAAUCAAAUAAAGAUUAAAUUUUUGAAAGAUUUGGUUUUCAGGUCUUGUUUCCAUUAUUUUCCUUGUAUUUAAUGAAAAUAAAUAGAUAACAUGAGCCAUCCAGUUUCUCCCUACACUAGUUUGUUGGUGCAGUAUAUUUAGUCAAUAGUAAAAAAAACUUACCUGUAACAGAAAUAAGUCUUAUGUAAUUGUAAAAGUUGAGGAAAAUUUUAAUAUUGUAUGUUGCAUUUAAAUUCAAGAAAAUUAUCUGAUAAAUUACAUAUACAUGUAUUACUUUUGAACCUCAAUUUGUUGAAUGCCACUGAUCAUGGUUAAGAAAAUCAACAACUAAUCAACCCAACAGUCAUUGGUUCAGACUACACUGAACACAUAAUUUAAAAAUAUGGUAAAUCACUUAAGAAAAUAUUUUGUCACGACAUAACUGCCUCUUUGACUUGUACCUCACAAUCAUUUUUGAUUCAUACCUUAAAAUGUAUAGAAAAGUAAUAGAAAUGUUUUGAUUUUUGUUAGUUAAAAGUCUGUCCUAAGAAUGUAUGUAUAUCAACAGUAUCCACUAGAACAGAUUUAUUUGCCAGGGACCCAAAUAAAGUCUUACUAACAGAUUUCUUUGUUAGCGUAAGGAACGUUGAACCUUUAGCCAAGACCAUCAAACUUCUUAACAAAACCAACCAAUGCACGUAAAUUACUGUUAGUGAAGAUUUUAUUGAAGAUCUUUUGGGUUGAAAUAUUCAAAAAAGGUAAUUGAAUAUUGAAAAAUUUCAAACUUCCGAUGUAUUAAAAAACAGGACUUGCUUAUUAAACACAACAGAAAAAAAGCAUUUGAAAAGAAGUUUAUUCAGUGCGAUUGAAAUUAAAUUUGUCAUUGACAUUUUUUUUAUGGAAGUUGCAAUAAUGUAUUAAAAAACAGGACUUGCUUAUUAAACACAACAGAAAGAAAAGCAUUUGAAAAGAAGUUUAUUCAGUGCGAUUGAAAUUAAAUUUGUCAUUGACAUUUUUUUUAUGGAAGUUGCAAUAAUGUAUUAAAAACAGGACUUGCUUAUUAAACACAACAAAAAAAAAGCAUUUGAAAAGAAGUGUCAUUGACAUUUUUUUUUAUGGAAGUUGCAAUAUUUAAAUUAUUUUUUUGAAUUACUGGAAAUAAGUUUCUUAUAAAAUGCUUUUUUUUCUAUAACUGACCAUUUGAUUGUGAAUUUUUUUUAGAUAAACAUCUAUGUCAACAUACUAUACCUUGUGAUGUAAUUUCAUAUUCAUUGCUCUUGAACUUCUUGUUUACCUAUUCUCAUAUUUGGGUGAUAACUUGAUUUCUAUGUAUUUGCAGUAAAGAUAGCUGUCAAGAUAAAAUAGAGCCGGAAGAUCAAGAUCUAGAGCCUUUAUCAUAUGCAGAACAAUUCCCAGUGCCUAAAUGAUUUAUAUGGAUGUAAGGAACUUAAAACUUCUGUGAUAAAAUUUAUGACAGCAGGCCAAGUAAUUAAUGACUAAAUUGGUGAGAAUGACUUUGAAU
rnacentral:lncRNA from 1 species